AAGGCCGAGGCUAAGGUCGAGGUCGCCAGGGUUUUAAGUUUGUGGGUUUAAGGAUUUAAGCCCUAAAACACAAAAUCAUUGAAAUUUUGAGUUUCAAAAAAAUGGCUAAUUCAAUUGCUGCUCUCUCACGCAGGCUCUCUCGUUCCCUUCUAUCUAACUCAAACUUCUCUCAGAUUUCCAUGCCCUUUUGCACUGACAACCUAUCCUCUCGCGACGACUAUAACUCUGAAGACUCCGAUCUGAACUCCGCCGCGGAUUCUGUGCCCAACUCAACCUCGCAGUCAUCAUUAUUCUCCUCAUCAACAUCUGAACCAACAGCAGCUUCGCCAGCUUCGACUGAUGAUCGAGUGGUCUAUCAACAGCGGCUCGAGGAUGGCCUCGAUGUUGGCAUUUACAGGGUGCUGCCAAAAUCCCUCCCGUGUUUGGCAAAAUAAAAAAAUUGUGUUUAUUUGUUAUUUAUAGCAUUUUAAGUUUCAUUAUUCUUUCUUUAUUUUUAUUGGUGGGUUUGUGAAGUUCUUGGAACGAAUAUCUUUUGCUGUUUGUGUGGGUUGAUGGUAUGUAAGUGUAAAUAUGUAAUUAUGAUGAUUUUUAGUGCCUCAAACGUGCUAAAGAUUAAUCUCUACAACUGACACUUUUAGGGUUUUUGAUUUGUGGCUUCUGUGUGUGAGUUUUAGGCAAUAUUGGUGGGGCAGGUUGGGAGGAGUCCAUGGCAGAAGAAGUUGAGGAAUGGGAGGACUGUGACAAUGUUCUCCCUGGGGACAGGUGGUAUUCGCAAUAAUAGGAGGCCAUUACAGAAUGAGGAGCCAGGAGAGUAUGAAAAUCGGUCUUCUGUUCAGUGGCACCGGGUUGCAGUUUACCAAGAAAGGUUGGGGAGUCUUUUUAUGAAGAGUAUUUUACCAGGUUCAAUUAUUUAUCUGGAGGGAAGUCUGGAGUCCAGGCUGUUCACUGAUCCGAUCACUGGUCUUGUUCGUCGCAUAAGAGAGGUUGCUAUUCGUCAACAUGGUAUGUUCAUUCUUUAUGUGUUUUGUUGCUGUUUACCAUUGUUACCGUGAGGAAUUGGGACUUCAAUGAUGGCUUCAUAUUUUGAAAACAAAGAUAUUUAACACUGAGAUGGACGUGCCACUUUCUUUUAUAUGCAUGUCAUAAAUUUUAUACAUACCACACCUGAAAAAAAAAAAAAAUCAGAUGUUUAUCAUAAUAUUGUGAAAGAUAGCAGUGAUUUAAUGUUUUGAUGGAAUCAUGCUUUAGGCUAUAAUUCUCUUUUCUGCCACUCUACUUGCAUUAAUUAAGGCUUAAGCUCCCCUAUGCAUUAUUUAUGAGUCUUGAGAACAGUACUGUUAUUCUUUCAAAUGACUUAUUUGACAUGUUUUUUAGUUUUAACUCUACAAGACAAUUUGGCAUUUAGCUGUGUAUUCUGGCUGUUUGGUGGCCUUGGAAUCUGUUACUUUUGUGCUUGGAAUUUUGAAAUAGAUAAUUUUGGAGUCAACGUUAGGAACCGGUUGAUCUCAGCUUCACCACACAAUUCUUAAAUACAGACAGCUUUAGCUCUAUGUGUGUAUACAUGUGCAUGCACAGAGAGAUAUACGUCAAGUCAAAGUGAUAAAUGCUUAUUGAAAAUACAUUGUAGUUCGCCUUGCAUGAUAAAAAGCAGAGGACAUGAAACUUCAUAAAGGUUGUGAAUUUGUUGUUUGGCAGUGUCAGCGUCAGAAGCAAGUAACUGCAUAGGUUUGCUUCUUUCAUUUGUCACUUAAUGGCAUGGUUUUUAGGAAUAUUACAAUCAAGAUGAAGAUGAGAUUGUAACUUUCAAAUUCUACGUACUUAAAAGUUCAAAUCAAGUUCCACUUGGAUUGUUUCUUGACCAACAUGCUUUCAUACUUCAGUUCAGUUAAGUGCUAGCUACUACAGCAUUAACUACUAGAUUUAACAUUGUUAUGUGGACUUUUUGCCAGGUCGGCUUGUGUUUUUGGGAAAAGGGGGUGAUGACCAGCAAGCAAGUGCAAAUGAAUUGAAAAAUGUAGGCUAUCACUAGGAGCAUAACUCAUAACAAUUUGUGUAUUCAUGUAACCUAAUUUUGCUUUGAAUUUGCUUCAAGCUAGUAAUGAUUAUGAUUUAUGGAGGCAGAAAGCCUUGCCGGUUGCCUUUUUUUGUUUACUUUUUCAUGGCUUUUUAAUUCAACAUGAUUUGUUUAUGGAAAUAGGAAGCCCUCUUUUCUGUUUUCUCUUCCUUUUCCUAAUUUUCCAUAAGAAAAUAUGUUCAUUUCCCUA
rnacentral:misc_RNA from 1 species